rnacentral:lncRNA from 13 species
AUGGCCAAUGAAAUUGAGGAAUUAGCUGGCAGCAUCCCAGAAGAAGUCAAUGACAUCCAGAGCGUUGCAACGCUAGUGGAGGACCUGUAUGUUAGUCUCACUGCUCUGAGAGAUUUGCUGUCAAAGAACAAUACCUCAGCUUCUACCAUAGAUCCAGAACCUUUGUCUCACGACCUCCCAGAGAACAAGCCCCUCAGUCCUGACGGAACAGACACAACCAAUGGAACACAGAUGGAUCAAGGCUCACCCAGAGAAGAUGAGGACCUCAAUCACUCUAACAUAGAUCUCUUUACGGUUCCUGAACCCAUGGAAGAGGCCAGCAAACCCAUAGACUAUCAAGGAGACUGCAUCAUGUCCCUGGAUAUCUCAGAGUAUGAGCUUCAAUUGCUGGAGAGGCAAGCUAAGCAGGAGGAUCUGGAGGAGCAGUCCACUUUGGAGUUCCAGGAGAAAAAUGCACUGGAUGACUCUGCAGACCUUUUGUACGAAGUGGAGCUGGAGAGCGAGAUGCUACAGGUAAUAGUCUAGAUGUCAGAGAGAACGAUGGAUUUCCCCUCUUACGAUACAUUAUCCUUACAGAUGUUAUCCAAACCUCUCUCUCAUCAGUCAGUAUGCCCAUUCUCAAUAAGCCAGUUUUACACAUUCAAGCACAUCUGAGGUGUGGAUUUCUCUCAUUAACCUUCUUAUAGCAGGCCUGGGUCAAAAUAUAUCAAAAAUGUGAGUUUAUUAGUUUGAUUUGUAUAAAAUAUGUCAAAACCGUGAGUUUCUUAGCCUGAUUUUUUUAUCAAAUAUGUCAAACCCAUGAGUUUCUUAGCCUGAUUUUUUUUAUAAAAUAUGUCAAACCCAUGAGUUUGUUAGCUUGGUUUUUUGUUUGCCUUGUACAAUUGAACCAAUGGAUGUAUUUCUGUUCUGCUUGAAUUUAACUAGGUAAGUUAUUGAACAUAUUAUAUUUUACAAUAACUACCUGACAAUAGAUUAGUCCCGAAAGUACGAGCUCCAAACUAAAUCAAGUACGUAUUAUAUUUUCAAGUGUACAAAAGUAUAUGUGACAUAAGCAUUUGCCCCAGGUCUGCUAUUGGUUAAGAACCAGUGCCUUGUGUGAUAAUGUGGUUUGGGAUGUUUCUCACCUCAGUGUGUGGAGGAAGUGGAGAGGUUGACUCAACAGAAACAACCCCAACCUGAGGAAAUGCCCUCUGGCCCUGGCAAUGAGGAGGAUGACAUAGAGGAGCUGGAGGAAGAAGAAGAAUUUGGUACUGAUGGAGCUAUUUCUUAGCUGUUUUAGGUUUCAAAGAUUGUUGUGGAGAAAUACUAAUGGACUGACUGACAAAUAGACAGCCUUAUUAGAAUGUAUUGUGUGUAAAAGGAGGAUGCUCUCAGUCUACUGUGUGUUGAUUGAAGUAGAGUGAUGGUACAUUUUAAUCAAAGGAGCUAAUAAUAGCUAUCAUUUUCUGCUGUAGGCAGUGGUAAAAGUGGUGAGCCUUUACACGAAUCCCAUGACCUAUAUAGCCAGCAUUAUAAUUAAAUCAUGCUCUACUCUGUUAAAAAUCAAUACCAACACAGAAACCUAUUCAAAAUCACACGUCAAGAUAGAUUUAAGCAAUAAGGCCCAACCGGGUGUGGUAUAUGGCCAAUAUACCACGGCUAAGGACUGUUCUUACGUACGACGCAACGCGGAGUGCCUGGACACAGCCCUUAGCCGUGGCAUAUUGGCUAUAUACCACAAACUACUUAUUAAUCCAAUUCCCUCUAGGAGUUUGGCUCGUUGCCAAAAGCAGGGUUUUAGAAUAGCAGUUUAGGAUUAAUCUCCAGCUUUGUGUACUCGGGCAGAUGUUAACCUCCAGUGUCAAAUGUACUCAGGCAGAUGUGAGUGUAUUUCUGUGUCAGUCUAUUGAGGCCUCUUUCCCGCUCUCCACAUGCAGAUCCAUCUCUUCCAGAGCCACUCCCUGAACAAAUCAAAUGUCUAAAGAUGUUUUUUGGACAUAGUCCCUUAAAGCCGUAAGUCCCCCCCCCCCCCCCCAUAUGUGCAUAUUAUAAUUUCUCCUUUCUGUCAUUUGUUCAAGAAAGACAAAUCCCCUCUGUUUCAGAGUACAAUGGAAAGUAAUUCACUCUGUUCUGAAGGAGAGGCGAGAUAACCUUGUUGUCAUGGCAACAGGUAAGUUCCACCCCCCCCACUCGCCAUCGUGUUAAGUUAAUUAUGAUUGACUAAGGCAUCACGGUAAUAUGAGCAUCCAUAUGGAUGGCAUCGUAUAGUUCCAAUAAUAAAGUUUAGUUCGUAAAUGAAUAUUCCCCGACGAUGUACAUAAAAAAUAAAAAAUGAUUGGGCUUUCAUCCUUUUGUUCAAAUCUGAUGUAUUUGCACUUAUACUACCGCUAUUGCACUGCCACCUAGUGGAUGGUUUCUUUAUGACUCUGAAAUCUCUAUGCACAUUCCUCAAUGCACAUGAUUUAAUCAGACCUGUAUGACAAGUAGUGUAAGUUAGUUCUGCUGCGGGAUAUUCAAGGGUACUGCAAAUACAUUUGUAGUUAGAGUCACACAAAAAACUCACAAAAGCUCUGAGGAAGGUCGUGUGGUCGAUCCGUAAAGCUUAAUAAAGAACAGUGUUUCUUAGUUUUAAUCAUUUUAUUCAACUGCUACUGUGCACCUGCAAAAAAGAUAGCUCAGAUGUGCGAGUGCCUUUUUGAAUUAUAGUUACAGAUGACAACAUCCUUUAAUUGGUAUGUGACAGAAACAGGCUGAAUGAGUAUAGUCACGAACCGGCUCGUAACAGAAAGGGAGACAACGCAGAGAUCAAGGGAUAACAAAAAAAUAUAUUUCUUAACUAAAGUAAACUAUAUUUGAAUUAACAAUGGUGUGUAGUUGCGUGCAAAGAUGGUAAUAAUAUGGAGCCAAAAUAAACAAACCACAAAAUGCCACAACCAAACCAACAUACAUUGUGUUUGCAUGGAGAGAGUCUCCUCAAUGAAUGGGGGGGAAAGGUGUAUUUAUCCCCGGGACACACCUGGGCUUGGGUGUGUUUCGCUGACGACCCUCCCGGCUCCGCCUACCAACUUCAUAUUAAGGAAAACAAAGGCAAAGAGAAAUACAUUCUGUAGACAGAGUGGGAGGGUCAUCACAAUAUAGUUAAGGAAAAUAUGCUAUCACUUAUUCAACUAACCAUUUUCUGUAAUGGAACAUCUUGGGUUAGUAGGUGAGAUAUGCAACGUGAUGUAAAAUCAAUGAGGAUGUCAGCCAUUGGUAUUCUACUAGCUAAACUGAAGUCUAUGUCUAUGUCUCCCUGAAGGGUAUGGGAAAAGCCUGUGCUUCCAGUUUCCCCCAGUGUACUGUGUUGGCGUCAGCAUUGUUAUCUGUCCUCUCAUCGCUCUCAUGGAGGACCAAGUGCUCCAGCUCGAGUGAGUAGCAACAUUUUAGCACCAGUAACCUUCUAAAAAUACCAUACCUACCAAUGUCAUCUUCUACUUUUAACAUAUUUUGAUUGUCAUACGCCAUUAAUAGAAAUAAUCACAUGAGUUUGAUUGCUUGUUUUUCCCCAUAUAUAUUGAAUAAUGUGAAAAUGACAUGUUUUUGCAGGAAUAUAAGUAUCUGGUAAGCAUUAGAGCUCAUCAAUGUUGAUAUUCUUCUGAGUGAAACAACAUGUUGUUUUGGUUUAUAGGUGACACCUAGUCAGCCAGGGGUUGCGUUCAGCAGAACAUAAUGUUGUGCAAUGUGCAGAUAGAAAAACAGCAUGUAGAACAAACACCCCUCUAACAUGUAGAAUAAGGAACCAUGUUGGCUCUGUUCAUGAUAUUUCUAUCUGCAACGUUCCACAAGCUGAACCCUUUCCAGGUGGGAUCAUGGUGAUGUUCCCCUGCAACAACGUAACAUUUUCUAUUUAUUUUCCAGAAUGUCCAACAUUCCAGCUUGUUUUCUUGGCUCUGCUCAGACCAAAAAUGUUUUAGCCGGCUUGAAACAGUAAGCUCCUUUUCAAAAAAAAAAAAAUCAUGUGAUAUGUGCCUAAAGGGACGUUUACUUGCACCCUCUCCUCUGUUCUGUCAUGAUGUGUAAUAUACUCAUUUACACUUUUUACAGUCAAGGGGCAUUGUAGCCUGAGUGCUGGUCUGUUUGUGCUAUCAUGUCAACUCCUUGUCAUGCCAGUGACAAUGAGCAAUGAAGUUGGCCAGAGCAAACAGAUCUGGGACCAGGCUACCAAUGUCAUAAGUCAGCUCCCAGGCACACAAUGUACCGAGUUUACUAGCUGUAUGGACUGUAAAAUUGAUCAAUUAAAGUGGCAAUAUGUAACUUCUUGGGUGACUCAAAUUCACAUAGAAAUGUCAUUUAUAGAUCUAUCAUUCUACUUGAAAGCAAAUGUAAGAGGUAGAUAUGUUCUAGGUGCACUAUUUCUAUGCUUCCAGUUCUUAAGUUUUGUUUUUGCCUCUUUUUGUACACCAGCUGAAACAACCAUAUGUUUGGUUAUUAAAUAUAUUUCAGUGGUUUGGAUGGUACAAUGAUAGUAUAGACAAUCUUAUUUUGUCACAAACUGAAAUGAGGCAAACUUAGUUUUAGCAACCAGGAAAUAGCGGUGCGUUUUCUGCAUAGUGUUACUUUAAGACUAAACAACAUCUAGCAGGACUGGGGAACUGGAAAGCCUGAGUUUGGCAUCCCUGUUAUAAGUAAAGCCUGCUUAUGUACCAACUAGGCAGAAAAUAACAUGACCUUAUUCUGUCUUUAGGGGGCAAUACAGAGUUGUAUACAUGACCCCAGAAUACUGCUCAGGCAAUGUAUCUCUACUCGAACAGCUCGAUAGAAGUAUAGGUGAGUGAACUCUAGGUCCCAAUUCAUGACUUUCUUUUAAAUAUAUCUCCAUAUACAUUUAUACAGAUAUAUCCCAUUGUCUUUUUAUACAUUUAACAGUGAGAAUAUAGUUGGUGUAGGAACUGUUUCCCAAAAACAUCUUUAGAACAAAGAUUAUCUUAAGUUCAUUGGUAGGCAAUGGACAAACAAUAAUUUAACUCUAAAGAUGAUCUUUGUUUUGGGGAAAAAUAACUAUUUUGGGCUGAGUUAUCUCUGCAUU